rnacentral:rRNA from 1 species
ACUCCUACGGGAGGCAGCAGUGGGGAAUAUUGCACAAUGGGCGCAAGCCUGAUGCAGCCAUGCCGCGUGCAUAAGUGAAGGCAUCGGGGCUUUCGGGUUGAAAUGAAAUAGUCACUUUUUUCCAAGGCCAAGGUUGGAAGGGAAAGGUGGAUGCGUUAAUAGCGUAUUCAUUUGACGUUAGCUGCAGAAGAAGCACCGGCUAACUCCGUGCCAGCAGCCGCGGUAAUACGGAGGGUGCGAGCGUUAAUCGGAAUUACUGGGCGUAAAGCGCAUGCAGGUGGUUUGUUAAGUCAGAUGUGAAAGCCCGGGGCUCAACCUCGGAAUAGCAUUUGAAACUGGCAGACUAGAGUACUGUAGAGGGGGUAGAAUUUCAGGUGUAGCGGUGAAAUGCGUAGAGAUCUGAAGGAAUACCGGUGGCGAAGGCGGCCCCCUGGACAGAUACUGACACUCAGAUGCGAAAGCGUGGGGAGCAAACAGGAUUAGAUACCCUGGUAGCUACG